rnacentral:rRNA from 1 species
GAAACCGUGUACGUACAAGCAGUGGGAGCCCCACCACUAAGCCAGUGGUGAACUCCACAUACGCAUCCUUUGCUGAGGAUACGGUUAACGGAGCGAAAGCGACGUUCAACCGCAAAAGAAGCAGAGGGGGCUUAGUGGUGGGGUGACUGCGUACCUUUUGUAUAAUGGGUCAGCGACUUAUAUUCUGUAGCAAGGUUAACCGAAUAGGGGAGCCGGAGGGAAACCGAGUCUUAACCGGGCGUUAAGUUGCAGGGUAUAGACCCGAAACCCGGUGAUCUAGCCAUGGGCAGGUUGAAGGUUGGGUAACACUAACUGGAGGACCGAACCGACUAAUGUUGAAAAAUUAGCGGAUGACCUGUGGCUGGGGGUGAAAGGCCAAUCAAACCGGGAGAUAGCUGGUUCUCCCCGAAAGCUAUUUAGGUAGCGCCUCGUGAAUUCAUCUCCGGGGGUAGAGCACUGUUUCGGCUAGGGGGCCAUCCCGGCUUACCAACCCGAUGCAAACUGCGAAUACCGGAGAAUGUUAUCACGGGAGACACACGGCGGGUGCUAACGUCCGUCGUGAAGAGGGAAACAACCCAGACCGCCAGCUAAGGUCCCAAAGUCAUGGUUAAGUGGGAAACGAUGUGGGAAGGCCCAGACAGCCAGGAUGUUGGCUUAGAAGCAGCCAUCAUUUAAAGAAAGCGUAAUAGCUCACUGGUCGAGUCGGCCUGCGCGGAAGAUGUAACGGGGCUAAACCAUGCACCGAAGCUGCGGCAGCGAACGUAUCACUUAAAGCGAUUCAGCGGGUUACGAUUGACGGAGCGAAGCGACGUCAAAGCGUAUACAAAGUCGAGUCGGUUUAAGGAUACGUUCGUUGGGUAGGGGAGCGUUCUGUAAGCCUGUGAAGGUGGCCUGUGAGGGUUGCUGGAGGUAUCAGAAGUGCGAAUGCUGACAUAAGUAACGAUAAAGCGGGUGAAAAGCCCGCUCGCCGGAAGACCAAGGGUUCCUGUCCAACGUUAAUCGGGGCAGGGUGAGUCGACCCCUAAGGCGAGGCCGAAAGGCGUAGUCGAUGGGAAACGGGUUAAUAUUCCCGUACUUGGUGUUACUGCGAAGGGGGGACGGAGAAGGCUAUGUUGGCCGGGCGACGGUUGUCCCGGUUUAAGCGUGUAGGUGUGUGUUCCAGGUAAAUCCGGUUCACUUUAACACUGAGGCGUGAUGACGAGGCACUACGGUGCUGAAGUAACAAAUGCCCUGCUUCCAGGAAAAGCCUCUAAGCAUCAGGUAACAUCAAAUCGUACCCCAAACCGACACAGGUGGUCAGGUAGAGAAUACCAAGGCGCUUGAGAGAACUCGGGUGAAGGAACUAGGCAAAAUGGUGCCGUAACUUCGGGAGAAGGCACGCUGACAC